rnacentral:rRNA from 1 species
AUAGCUUGCUAGAAGCUUGGUUAGUGGCGGACGGGUGAGUAACACGUGGAUAAUCUGCCUUUGACACUGGGACAACACUGUGAAAACGGUGCUAAUACCGGAUACCUUAGUUAGUUCUCAUGAACUGAUUAAGAAAGGAGCAAUCCGGUCAAAGAUGAGUCCGCGGCUGAUUAGCUAGUUGGUGAGGUAACGGCCCACCAAGGCGACGAUCAGUAGCCGGCCUGAGAGGGUGAACGGCCACACUGGGACUGAGACACGGCCCAGACUCCUACGGGAGGCAGCAGUGGGGA